UGGGGAAUAUUGGACAAUGGGCGCAAGCCUGAUCCAGCCAUGCCGCGUGAGUGACGAAGGUCUUCGGAUUGUAAAGCUCUUUUGCCAGGGACGAUAAUGACGGUACCUGGAGAAUAAGCCCCGGCUAACUUCGUGCCAGCAGCCGCGGUAAUACGAAGGGGGCUAGCGUUGUUCGGAAUUACUGGGCGUAAAGCGCACGUAGGCGGAUUUGUUAGUCAGGGGUGAAAUCCCGGGGCUCAACCUCGGAACUGCCUUUGAUACUGCAAGUCUCGAGUCCGAUAGAGGUGAGUGGAAUUACUAGUGUAGAGGUGAAAUUCGUAGAUAUUAGGAAGAACACCAGUGGCGAAGGCGGCUCACUGGAUCGGUACUGACGCUGAGGUGCGAAAGCGUGGGGAGCAAACAGGAUUAGAUACCCCUGUAGUCCCUGAGCGGGCUGGCAAGGCGCAU
rnacentral:rRNA from 1 species